UACGUAGGGUGCAAGCGUUAUCCGGAAUCACUGGGCGUAAAGCGUGCGUAGGUGGGAAUUUAAGUGUGAUGUUAAAUCGUGUGGCUCAACCAUAUCGAUGCAUCGCAUACUGGGUUCCUAGAGGACGGCAGAGGCAAGUGGAAUUAGCAGUGUAGCAGUGAAAUGCGUAGAUAUGCGGAGGAACACCGAUGGCGAAGGCAAUCCCCUGGGCCUGCACUGACGCUCAUGCACGAAAGCGUGGGGAGCAAACAGG
rnacentral:rRNA from 1 species